AAUCAUGGGACCGGCUGCAUUUCUAUUUUGUCCUCUCCUGUUAUUAGGGGCUUGUACUGAGCACGGAGGACCAUUAGUUGGACGGCCCUCAUGCAGUCCCUGACAGACUGGUCUGUGGAUGAUAUA